GUGUGGUACCUUGUGGUAUGCACAUAAUAAAUUAUUGUAUUACUCUAUUACGUUUAGCGUGUAUGUUUACAUUGAGUAUCUGUCAUAUGUGGAGAUGUUGUUAUUGUUGUCUAGAGUGUGAAUCAUUGUAUGUAAUAUUGAAGUAUCGGUAAUAAAGUGUAUACAAAUAAUGAAUACAGUUGUUGAAUAAUCAUUACAGAGAAAGAUUCUCACAUUGGCGACGAGAACGGUGAACAGUGCAUGUGAAAUUAGUUUAAUUUCGGUUCGGGAAGUGUUGUCUUUGGAAAAAGAAAGAGAUGAGUGGUGUGUGUGGUGCAUGCAGAGUGGUGAUGACCUCCAGGUGAUGACUUGUGAUUGAAUUUCAACAUUGGAAUCAAAAAGGUACAACCACAAGUAAUGGCCAAGUAAUUUACUAAAAUGCCGAGCAGAGAUGGAUGACCAAAUGGAUGACUGUACUUCUAAUUCUGAUGUGAGACUGAAGCGAGACGUUCAUAAACUGAGGAGACUAUAAGCGAAACAACGUGGAGUGACCUUGCUGCGGAUCUGGAGAAAAAACGAGAUGUGGUACCUUGUGGUAUGCACAUAAUAAAUUAUUGUAUUACUCUAUUACGUUUAGCGUGUAUGUUUACAUUGAGUAUCUGUCAUAUGUGGAGAUGUUGUUAUUGUUGUCUAGAGUGUGAAUCAUUGUAUGUAAUAUUGAAGUAUCGGUAAUAAAGUGUAUACAAAUAAUGAA